rnacentral:rRNA from 1 species
UACGGAGGGUGCAAGCGUUGUUCGGAGUUACUGGGCGUAAAGAGUGCGUAGGCGGUCCUGUAAGUUUGGUGUGAAAUCUCCCGGCUCAACUGGGAGGGUGCGCCGAAGACUGCAGGGCUUGAGUAUGGGAGAGGUAAGCGGAAUUCCUGGUGUAGCGGUGAAAUGCGUAGAUAUCAGGAGGAACACCUGUGGUGUAGACAGCUUACUGGACCAUAACUGACGCUGAGGCACGAAAGCGUGGGUAGCAAACAGG